UUCACAUUUUCAUACUGAAAUCACAUUUUGAAAGAAAUGCCCACCUCAAAAGCUAAAGCUCCUUCCGAAAUUUCCUUAACUUGGUCUUAGAUGACGUUCGAAGACGUCCCUUUAGGAAAUAAAAUGAUACUUAAUUAGAUUUUGAGAUAUCCGUUAAGCUUAAACAUGAAUGCAUCCUAAGUGCGUGAUCAUUUUAUUCUUCCUCUAAAAAUUUUCUAGAAGAGUUCUAGAAUUCUUGAAUAUUAAUUAAAUCAGUAGAUUUAAUUAAUUUAAAACAAUUGCUUAACUAGAGGGUGCUACCUCCUAAGCCAUUCAUUUAAGGUACUAAGUUAAGCUCGAGGUCUAUUCACCGUUAGCGUAUCGUUUUUUUCUUAAAUUUCAAUCAUUUGAGCACUCUUGCUACUUUCCGGAAAAAUUAGACUUAUCUUCGUGGAAUUAAUUAGCGGACUAUUAUUUAAUUCCAUAACAUAGGAGAGUCCAAGAUUUAAAUAAAUUCUUAGUCCAUACUUUAUUUAGUUGACGGCCCAAAAUAAAAUGCAACCCAACACCAAAAUUUUAGGGCCCAGCAGAUAAAAUUAAGGGAGGCCUAACAACUAAAAAAAAAAUGAGGGAAGGCCCAAAACUCUCCUUAAUCCAUCGGUCUCUCCCUCUAAACAAAAAUCCCCAAAUCAAACCCUAAUCCCAAAAUCAACAUCUCUCUCUUCUUUCUCUCGACGGUAUCGCCGCCAUCCGUUGCCGCCUCGCGGUCGCCGGAGUACGGCCGUCGGCUUCUCACUCUCGCUCACCUCUCCGCUGAGGCCACGGAGGAGUUCUCGGCUCGCCCCGCUUCGCCGCCUCGACUCCCAAAUGCAAACCUCGCCGCCUCUACCUAGUCGCCGCCACCUGCCGCCGCUCGUCGCUGGUGUCGCGCCAUCGGAGAAGGAGAGGGAGCAUCGCCUCUCUCUCUCUGCGCACCCACAGCUCAGCUCCGCCAGCGCCGCCGGCCCUCCGUCGAGCUGGUCAGCCCCUGCUGCUCGUACGAAGCCGGCAGCCACCGUCACUCACCGAAUCGCUCUCGAACCGUCACGGCAGUCCCCUUAACAACUCCGAACAGCUCCGACUCAUCCCGAAGAUAAGUUCUCUACUCCAAGUUACAUUCUUUUCCGUAUUUUUUUUAUCAACAGCCGGGGUGUUCGAUUUGUUUUGUCCGCUUGAUUGUGCUUAAUUGAGUUGAAUUUUGGAGGGGAUAUUAGCUCCCUGGAACGAAAUUUUACAUGUGUGUGCUACUGAUUUUGAGCAUAAAGGCAGCCUAUUGUACUCUUGUUCCAUUUAUGUGUUAAAGCUCCAAGAAUGCUAUUACUGUUAUGGGAUUUCUAAGGCUCUGAUUCUAUGUUCUUGAGCCAUCAUGGAGUUCUAAACAAGGGCAGUGGGUGAGCUUAUGUUAUCGAUUGAUUCUUCAGUUGUGGUGCCUCUAUGUGAUGACAUGAAAAACUUGAUUGGGAGAAAGGGGGUGGAGGUGUUUACCUCUCGGUAUCACGGCUGCUUCGAGAAAAUCUGCCUUUGGUCUCGGUUUUCCUCCCUCUCAAGCUUGCUACUGCUUGUUCUUAGUUUUCACUAGAGUUUGCUGAAUUCUGUGAUGUGUAGGAGGGUGCUCAAAGGUGGUGUGGGGGCUUUUUUUUAUAGGCUGAAAUCUUGAGGUACUGUGGGGGAUUAAUUGGAGUUGUUGUAUCACUUGUUGUUAUGCUGCAGAAAAUCCCACUUUAAUGAUCCCAUUGCCCCUCCUUCUUGGCUGCAAUUUGGCAUUUUAUAUGGGUACCUAGUACUUGGCUAGCAAUUUGAAUCGUUUGAUUGUGCAGUGAGCAGGUGGCUGUUGUGCCAAGGGUGUUGCAGGGCUGACUUUCCUCUUAUGGUGAUUCUUUGGGUCAUCUAUAACUAAAGAAGGUUGUCUCCAUCCCUAAGGUCGAGACAAGCUUGGUUGCCAAGCUGCUGGCUGUCUGGAACAGUUGAUACCUCGGCCCACGGCUGACCGGAAAACGGGCCGCGACUAUCGGCCCGGGAGGAGAGACUGAUUCUAUUCGAUUAAUGCACAUUUUAUCCUUUCCUUUUCUUGUCUCCUUUAUUUGAGGACUUGCUCCAUGUAACAUAUAUGUAUAUAUAUAUAUAUAUAUAUAUAUAUUUUCGUUGUUCAAUAGUUAAUUUUGUUCUA